AGCGAACGCUGGCGGCAGGCCUAACACAUGCAAGUCGAACGAACUCUUCGGAGUUAGUGGCGGACGGGUGAGUAACACGUGGGAACGUGCCCUUUGCUACGGAAUAACUCAGGGAAACUUGAGCUAAUACCGUAUGUGCCCUUCGGGGGAGAGAUUUAUCGCCAUUGGAGCGGCCCGCGUCUGAUUAGCUAGUUGGUGAGGUAAAGGCUCACCAAGGCUACGAUCAGUAGCUGGUCUGAGAGGAUGACCAGCCACAUUGGGACUGAGACACGGCCCAAACUCCUACGGGAGGCAGCAGUGGGGAAUCUUGCGCAAUGGGCGAAAGCCUGACGCAGCCAUGCCGCGUGAAUGAUGAAGGUCUUAGGAUUGUAAAAUUCUUUCACCGGGGACGAUAAUGACGGUACCCGGAGAAGAAGCCCCGGCUAACUUCGUGCCAGCCGCCGCAGUAAGAC
rnacentral:rRNA from 1 species